CUGUACAGUUCAGAGUUUGAUCCUGGCUCAGGACGAACGCUGGCGGCGUGCCUAAUACAUGCAAGUAGAACGCUGAAGCUUGGUGCUUGCACCGAGCGGAUGAGUUGCGAACGGGUGAGUAACGCGUAGGUAACCUGCCUGGUAGCGGGGGAUAACUAUUGGAAACGAUAGCUAAUACCGCAUAAGAGUAGAUAUCGCAUGAUAUGUGCUUAAAAGGUGCAAUUGCACCACUACCAGAUGGACCUGCGUUGUAUUAGCUAGUUGGUGAGGUAACGGCUCACCAAGGCGACGAUACAUAGCCGACCUGAGAGGGUGAUCGGCCACACUGGGACUGAGACACGGCCCAG
rnacentral:rRNA from 1 species